UGAAUUAAUAAUAUUUGUGAAAUUUCAACAAACAACAUCAAUUUUAUAGUCUAUUAUUUUUAAUUA
rnacentral:misc_RNA from 1 species